UGGGUUGGGUUGGGUUGAUCUAUGGAUUGAGGCCAUUUAUGCCAAAUUCUGACCCUACCAUCUGCUUGUUGCAGCCAAAAUUGAGAUUUGUAAAACUGACCGGAGUGGAGCCUGAUGUGGUCUUCUGCUGCUGUAGCCCAUCCACUUCAAGGUUUCACACAUUAGACUAGUGUGGAAAACCCAGAGAGGGCAGCUGCUUCUGAGAUGCUGGAACCACCACGUCUGGCACCAACAAUCAUACCACAGUCAGAGUUGCUUAUAUUAUGCGUUUUCUAAUUUUCGGUCAAACUUCAACUAUAAACUAUUUCUGCAUGCUUUAUACAUUGAAUUGCAGCCACAUGAUCCACUGUUUGGAGAAGCAGGCUAUUUGCCUUAAUGAGUGGGUGUACUUAAUAAACUGGCCACGGAGUGUAUAAUCAGUCACGAUCUGCCAUGCCAGACAUUCAAUAUUUAAUGAAAAAUAAAUAAACUACAUUCUCUCCUCUGA